UGGCACGGAAACCCAUAUGCUGUGCACUAUCUACUCUGGUGUUUAGUCUGUGGUUUUGCCACUACGAGUAAUGGCACUGCUUUUAUAUUUUCAGGAACAUGGGUACCCCAAAGAGGAUGCUCUUUUACAUCUUACGGCAAAAACGGUAAGACUCACCUAUUCUGGAUAUUUCGAAUAAUAAACAAAUUAUUUUUACACGAUAUAGAGGCAUUUCUAUACCCUCAAAAUAUUCUUUAGCCUAUCGUUCUAUGGGUAAGGCAUGAUAAAUCAAGUCUCAGAGAAAUAUAUAAACUAAAAAAAAGAAUUGAAAUCAAGCACAGUGUAUUGCAGUAAACCUUGCUUGAAAUAUUCUCUCCAGCGUGUUCGUUUCUUCGUCGUACAAGUAAAGCUUCGCAUCGUCCCCAGUGGUGACGAAUUUCGGCAAAUGAGAAUGAUAAGACAAGCCAAGCGUCUGCCUCUUCUCCCGUAUUGUGUAGAUGCAUUGGGAAGUCGGAUAAUGCCAACAUUUCACGCACCCGUUAGCAUCUAAAAUUGUUAAAAGUGCAAACUUCGUUGAAGUUCUCGCAAUUUGCCUGCAUUUAGAAGUUUGCUUCGUUAAAUGCUAAUUUACUGAAACUUCUUUGUACUAAUUCUGUGUCGACACACUGGACACGAGGCGAAUGGUGAAUUAUGUCUUCAAAUGUUAUUAACAAAUUGCAGUUAUUGUUUUCUUGAUCGGAUUUAUGAACAGGCCUAUGCUAAUUUACUGAAACUUCUUUAUACUAAUUUUGCGUCGACACACUGGACACGAGGCGAACGGUGAAUUAUGUUUUCAAAUGUUACUAACAAGUUGCUGUUAUUGUUUUCUUGAUCGGAUGCGAUUUAUGAACAGGCCUAUGCUUGACCGCUGUUGUCGGACUCGGUUUUUGAAUAAUCUCGGUGUCCCGCAAUGUCAACACAUCUGCCUCGGAAUUCAGUUUGUAUAAUUUCACUGUGCCGUCGGUCAAUCCAGCUGCCAGGAAGUCACGGGCCUCCGUGUAACAUAUGCAGAGAACAUCUUGAUCGGUGUCUCUGAAACGACAUUGCUACGUCGAUCGAAGAAUUCGGAAAAUGAAUUCUUCUAGGUAAACUAAAUUUGCGUACAGCUGUCUGAGGAUAGUCACAUUGCCAUCAGUUUGAACUCGAUCGUGCGAUGGUACGCCGACGUUGCUGUCUUGGCUGGAAUUUAACAGGGGAUCCAUCGUUUACGGGAAACUCUUUUUCACCGAUGCUAUUGGCGGAAGGAGGGAAACCGGUUGAAAUAAUAUUUCCGUUAUCGAAGCAUUUUAACUUUAUAAAUGAGAACGAAGAAAACAAUAUAUAAAUAUACAAUAAAAAAGAAUUUAUAUGAUC